GCUUCUGGUUCAAUUGUAAAAGAUUGCUGGACGUGCUCCAAAAUAUCAGAAUGUCAACCUUCUAGUUUGUCAAAAAGAGUGACUGAUGAUAGGAAAGCCAGAGGAAGCACUCAGAAACUCCAGAGUCUGAACCUUCACGAGAAGAAAUUCAAUUUCUCAACUCGUAAAAAGAUUCAGCAGCAUAAUCCUCUAUCAGAAGUUUUUAACAAGCUCUCUUUAGCUUCAGAAACACAACAGUUUGAUUCAUCUUGGACAUAAUUUCCGGAGUCCAUUCAUGACCCAGAAGAGACUGAUAAAUCCAGAACAACUGCAUGAAGGGUGUUGCUGCGCGACAACAUUUCGAUUUGUUGACGAUGAAAUUACCAGAUGAAGAUUUCAGAAAACUGAGGCACCUUAAUUGUUCACGGAGGAGAGAAAUUUUGACUUCAAGACAUCGUGAAAUAUACUUGGCAGGAUGUUCUUGGCAUCAAUCACACUAAAGAUAAUCGACCUGAUCGAUGAAAUUGAUGCGAACUCAAACUGGAUGUUAUAGUGAUGUGCAUGAGAAUGCUUUUUCGGAACUUAAUGCAUUUCCAAUAUAAGAUUAGAUCUGCCCAAAAAUGUUCUCUUAGACCCUGAAUUUACCAUCAUUUAGAUUAGAAGUUUGGGAAAUUUACAUACAUACCACAUAUUCUCAUGUAUUUAUAUAUCUUGCAGCUGAAGUUUGAUAUUUACACUCAUGACAAUUUAGUGUCACAAAUCUAUACAUGAAAAGUUUAUUUCACUCUUGAAAAGAUAAUGAUUGUGGUAUUU